CCGACGGUGAGGGGUGAAAGCUGGGGGAGCAAACCGGAUUAGAUACCCGGGUAGUCCCAGCUGUAAACUAUGCAAACUCAGUGAUGCAUUGGCUUGUGGCCAAUGCAGUGCUGCAGGGAAGCCGUUAAGUUUGCCGCCUGGGAAGUACGUACGCAAGUAUGAAACUUAAAGGAAUUGGCGGGGGAGCACCACAAGGGGUGAAGCCUGCGGUUCAAUUGGAGUCAACGCCAGAAAUCUUACCCGGAGAGACAGCAGAAUGAAGGUCAAGCUGAAGACUUUACCAGACAAGCUGAGAGGUGGUGCAUGGCCGUCGCCAGCUCGUGCCGUGAGAUGUCCUGUUAAGUCAGGUAACGAGCGAGAUCCCUGCCUUUAGUUGCCACUAUUACUCUCAGGAGUAGUAGGGCGAAUUAGAGGGACCGCCGCAGUUAAUGCGGAGGAAGGAAGGGGCCACGGCAGGUCAGUAUGCCCCGAAACUCUGGGGCCACACGCGGGCUGCAAUGGUAACGACAGUGAGUUCCAAAAUCGAAAGAUGGAGGUAAUCCCUAAACGUUACCACAGUUAUGAUUGAGGGCUGCAACUCGCCCUCAUGAAUAUGGAAUCCCUAGUAACCGCGUGUCAUUAUCGCGCAGUGAAUACGUCCCUGCUCCUUGCACUCACCGCCCGU
rnacentral:rRNA from 1 species